rnacentral:rRNA from 1 species
GAAAGCGUAAUAGCUCACUAGUCGAGUCGGCCUGCGCGGAAGAUGUAACGGGGCUAAAACUAUGUGCCGAAGCUGCGGAUGCACUAAUAAGUGCGUGGUAGGGGAGCGUUGUGUAAGUCUGUGAAGGUGUGUUGAGAAGCAUGCUGGAGAUAUCACAAGUGCGAAUGCUGACGUGAGUAACGAUAAAACGGGUGAAAAACCCGUUCGCCGAAAGACCAAGGGUUCCAGUCCAACGUUAAUCGGGGCUGGGUGAGUCGGUCCCUAAGGCGAGGCAGAAAUGCGUAGUCGAUGGGAAAUCGGUUAAUAUUCCGAUACUUCUAUAUAAUGCGAUGAGGGGACGGAGAAGGUUAAGUCAGCCUGGCGUUGGUUGUCCAGGUGGAAGACGGUAGGUAGAGAUCUUAGGCAAAUCCGGGGUCUUAAUACUGAGAGUCGAUAGCAAGCUGUUCGCAGCGAAGUGACUGAUACCAAGCUUCCAGGAAAAGCCUCUAAGCUUCAGUUAUAUAGGAACCGUACCCGAAACCGACACAGGUGGUCAGGUCGAGUAGACCAAGGCGCUUGAGAGAACUCUGCUGAAGGAACUAGGCAAAAUAGUACCGUAACUUCGGGAGAAGGUACGCUGUUGUUGGUGAUACCCCUGCGGGUUGAGCUGAUGACAGCCUCAGUAACCAGGCCGCUGCAACUGUUUAUUAAAAACAUAGCACUCUGCAAACACGAAAGUGGACGUAUAGGGUGUGAUGCCUGCCCGGUGCUGGAAGGUUAAUUGAUGUGGUUAGCGCAAGCGAAGCUAUUGAUCGAAGCCCCAGUAAACGGCGGCCGUAACUAUAACGGUCCUAAGGUAGCGAAAUUCCUUGUCGGGUAAGUUCCGACCUGCACGAAUGGCAUAAUGAUGGCGGCGCUGUCUCCAGCAGAGACUCAGUGAAAUCGAAAUCGCGGUGAAGAUGCCGUGUACCCGUGGCUAGACGGAAAGACCCCGUGAACCUUUACUGCAGCUUGACACUGAACUUUGACCUUACUUGUGUAGGAUAGGUGGGAGGUUAUGAAGUACGGACGCCAGUUCGUAUGGAGCCAUCCUUGAAAUACCACCCUGGUAAUGUUGAGGUUCUAACUCUGACCCGUAAUCCGGGUCGAGGACAGUGUCUGGUGGGUAGUUUGACUGGGGCGGUCUCCUCCUAAAGAGUAACGGAGGAGUACGA